rnacentral:rRNA from 1 species
UAGUUUGAUCCUGGCUCAGGACGAACGCUGACGGUGUGCUUUAGACAUGCAAGUCGAACGAGAAAGCCCUUCGGGGUUAGUAAAGUGGCGAACGGGUGAGUAACACGUGGGCAAUCUGCCCUUCGUUGGGGGACAACCGGGGGAAACCCCGGCUAAUACCCCGUAAGCUUGUCGGGUCACAUGGCCUGACAAGGAGAGGUAGCUUCGGCCAUCCGGCGAAGGAGGAGCCCGCGGUACAUUAGCUAGUUGGUGAGGUAACGGCUCACCAAGGCUACGAUGUAUAGCUGGUCUGAGAGGAUGAUCAGCCACACUGGGACUGAGACACGGCCCAGACUCCUACGGGAGGCAGCAGUCGGGAAUCUUGCACAAUGGGCGAAAGCCUGAUGCAGCAACACCGUGUGAGCGAUGAAGGCCCUAGGGUCGUAAAGCUCUGUUUGCGAGGACGAAGGGCGAAGGGUUAAUAGCCCUUAGCCUGACGGUACUUGUACAGAAAGCCCCGGCUAACUACGUGCCAGCAGCCGCGGUAAUACGUAGGGGGCGAGCGUUGUCCGGAAUUAUUGGGCGUAAAGAGCGUGUAGGCGGCUUGGUAAGUCUGCUGUGAAACCUUGGGGCUCAACCCCAAGCGUGCAGUGGAUACUGUCAAGCUAGAGGAUGGUAGAGGCCAGUGGAAUUCCCAGUGUAGCGGUGAAAUGCGCAG